rnacentral:rRNA from 1 species
CAAUAGCGUAUAUUAAAGUUGUUGCGGUUAAAAGCUACGUAGUUGGAUUUCUGCCGAGGACGUCCGGUCCGCCCUCUGGGUGAGUACAUGGCACGGCCUGGGCAUCUUCUUGGGGAACGUAUCUGCACUUGACUGUGUGGUGCGGUAUCCAGGACUUUUACUUUGAAGGAAAUUAGAGUGUUUACAAGCAGGCACACGCCUUGAAUACAUUAGCAUGGAAUAAUAAGAUAGGACCUCGGUUCCUAUUUUGUUGGUUUCUAGAGCUGAGGUAAUGAUUAAUAGGGAGUAGUUGGGGCAUUCGUAUUUAACUGUCAGAGGUGAAAUUCUUGGAUUUGUUAAAGACGGACUACUAGCGAAAGCAUUUGCCAAGGUA